AUGUCUAUCCAGCCUGCCGAUCGCGCCAGCACGUGUCGAGGUCACCUGCACAACCUAGGCAGCACCUGCCCGCUCCCCGUCGAUCCACUGUCCAUGGAUCACGGCCUUAAGAUUGCUGUAUGGAAUGUGCGCGGUCUGAAUUCGCGGAGCCGGCGCACAGCCAUUCGCUCACUGUUGGACACCACCGCUGCCUCCAUUGUAUGCUUGCAGGAAACUAAGAUGGAGUUACUUUGUUCGUCUGUUGUUCUUGACACCCUCGGUUCAGAGUUCGAUGACCACACAUACCUCCCAGCUCUUGGCACACGGGGCGGCAUCUUACUGGCUUGGAAGAGCAGGGCCGUGACCAUCACGGACCCGUUGUUCACCACGAAUGCCCUCUUGGCCAGAGUGGCCACGGCCUCGGGCACCCCUUGGUGGCUCUCUGUCGUGUAUGGACCUCAAGACGACGCGGACAAAAUUGCGUUCUUGCUUGAGCUGCGGGAGAUUCGUGUGGCCUGUCCCGGGCCAUGGAUGCUUUGCGGAGACUUCAACCUCAUCCUGCGCGACGAGGACAAGAACAACGGCAACUUAAAUCGUCGUAUGAUGGGUAGAUUCCGCCGCCUCGUCAAUGACCUUGCGCUUAAGGAGGUCUACCUCAACGGGCGUCGCUUCACGUGGUCGAACGAGCAGUCCCCUCCCACUCUUGUGCACCUGGACCGUGUGCUCUGCACCUCGGACUGGGAGGAUGCACAUGGCGAAUGUCACCUUCGCUGCCUUGCGACGGUCAUCUCGGACCACUCCCCCUGCUGCUGGACUGCUCCCCCAUGCCCACGGCGCAUAGACGAUUUCAUUUUGAGGACUUUUGGUUGA
rnacentral:rRNA from 1 species